UCCAAUUGUUUUUGGUAUUAUAGGAGAGGAUUUCAAAGCCAGGCUCCUUUCAGGCUCAUUCACUGAACUGGUUUUUGAAGAGAAAGACUUUUAAUCCAAGUCCUGUUAAAAAUGCCAACUAACCUUCCUUGAGAAACUCUACAUGUUGUUACAUCACUUAGGAAUUACCACACACAACAUUAUCUGCAGCAAAGCUGAAAAUAUAUGGAUAAAAACAAACCUCAAACUUCCUCUCCCUUGGCACUCAGUAUGGGUGAGCUACAUUGAGUAACCAGGAAAAUUAACCAUAAUGCAUUCUUUCACUACCACAUAUUAGCUACUUUGUUUUUCUUGUUGCUUCCUGCUACUCCAAUAAUUGAACAUCUUUGCCUUGCAGAGCUUUCUAGACAUUUAGCUUGAUCCUCUGGGUUCAGCACCAUGAUCUAGAAAAUCCCUAGUCACUCAGCAAAUCCCUGAAUGUGAACAAGGAGUUGAAGAUUGGAUCACAUUGUUCUAUUAGAUCCAUCUUUUUUAGACAAAAUAAUGCAAAGAAUCUUAUGUUACUUCAUCACCAAUGAAGUGUUUUUGAAUUUUUAUUAAGCAUCUCUCUGGAAUAUUUUGCUCAGCUGUUCUGUAUACACUUCUGUCCCCUACACCAGAGGCUCCUCAGACAGGUGAGACAGGCAGGGACUAUCUGCUGAGUGGUCAUUUCAAAGUCCUCCAGAGAGGGCGAUGCUCAGGCAGGUAGAACAUUGUCUCAUAUGGUCCCAGAGAUGUAACAUUACAUUGGCUCAGAGCACAGAAAAAGAGGCUCACAGACUAUGUCCUCUGGUCUUUGAUUCUUGCUACAGGGACACAAGGUGUCAUACCAAAUGAUGAGAAGACCCUAGGCUUACUCUGAAAAACAUUUCUGUCACGUUUCUACAUUAAACUUGUCCAGGGACCAAUAUUGUUUUGUUCGGUGUUGAUGAAAAAAUAAAAUAUUGUCAUUUCCCUCUCUAUUA